rnacentral:rRNA from 1 species
ACGCUCGACACCUACGGGAGGCAGCAGUUGGGAAUAUUGGACAAUGGNGGAAACUCUGAUCCAGUGACGCCGCGUGAAGGAAGAAGGUCUUCGGAUUGUAAACUUAUUUUGUCAGGGAAGAAAAAUGACUGUACCUGAAGAAAAAGCACCGGCUAACUACGUGCCUGCAGCCGCGGUAAUCUGAGCGGGCUGGCAAGGC